GCCCUUCAACCUCUGCUACUUCAUCCUCCAGUUUCCAGUCUGUGCACCGAGCCUGUAGCCCCGGUUUGAGAGUGGCGAAAUACACAAAGAGGGACGUGGAGAUGGACGGCUAUCGCAUUAUCCAAGAGGGAGUCGCUAUCGCUUGCUGGAACACUUGUCCAUCCUUAAGCAGUGUGAAAUGGUGAUGACAACACUACCUCACGAGU